GAAAUACUUCGCCAACAUAUCGAUUAAGACUGCUUUGAAAUUCAGACAUCUGGGCUAUUCCAGCACAUUCGACAAUCGAUGAUAAGACAUAUUCACGCCUGAUUGAAACUGGAAAUGCUCACUUCAAGCAAUUUCACUGAAGAAUCCAUCCUUGCUGUACUUCUCAUAUACAGUCGGGCACUCUGUAUAUGUAUCCGUUAAUUAUAUGUGUAAUUGAAGAUACAUAAAUUAUCUUCUUAAAUAAACUUUUAAAAAAUA